rnacentral:misc_RNA from 1 species
AAGUCGUAACAAGGUUUCCGUAGGUGAACCUGCGGAAGGAUCAUUAAUGAUUUUUUAAGCAAGCCAAGCUUUUUUUUAUAAAAAGUGAGGUUUUGCGAACGUAUUUAAAACCCCCACUCUUUUAAAUUAUUUCAUUCAUGUAAAAUGAAUAAAAAAAAGAUCACUUUCAACAACGGAUCUCUUGGCUCUC